UAUGAUUAUUUGCCUAAAUAUUUCCCUGCCU
rnacentral:piRNA from 1 species